UCACAAGUUCAUGAGAUCGAGACCAUCUUGGCCAACAUGAUGACCGAGAAGCAAGGCUGAGAGAGGUGGAAGCACUCACCCAAAGUUACACAGCCAGGAAAAGACAGAGCCAGGCUGUACUGCAAAGUCAGUUAGUGACCCUGAGGCUGACAGUAACUUGGGGAGAUUCAGCUUAGAUGACAGGGAUGCUGGUUUCUGCAGCAGCCUCUCUGCAACCUGAGGGCAGCAAUGCCGACAGGCAGCAAGCUGCAGGCACACUUGAC